GACGAACGCUGGCGGCGUGCUUAACACAUGCAAGUCGAACGAAGUGGGAACGGGUGAGUAAUACGUGGGUAACCUCCCUCCUUUUUGGGAUAAGCCUUGGAAACGGGGUCUAAACCGAAUAGAUGGGCUCGCGGCCUAUCAGCUUGUUGGUGGGGUGAUGGCCUACCAAGGCGGUGACGGGUAGCCGGCCUGAGAGGGUGGCCUGCGUCAUUGGGACUGAGACAAGGCCCAGACUCCUACGGGAGGCCGCAGUGGGGAAUCUUCCGCAAUGGACGAAAGUCUGACGGAGCAACGCCGCGUGAGUGAUGACGGCCUUCGUGUUGUAAAGCUCUGUUAAUCGGGACGCGGUACCGGAAUAGAAAGCCACGGCUAACUACGUGCCAGCCGCCGCGGUAAUUC
rnacentral:rRNA from 1 species